CAAAGGAUAGUUUAUUAAAAAAUAUUAAUUUUGGGGAUUAAUGAUAGGAUUUUUUUUCUUUCCUUUGA
rnacentral:tRNA from 1 species